GAGGUUGUAAGUCAGAGCAGGCAGAAGCUUGGGACGCUCAGACUCUCUUGUGGAAGGACUCUGUUUCUAGCCUCAGGAGAAAGAGGAAGCAUGUAGCAGCUGACUGCUGAAGAAAGAAGAGAAACUGAGAAGCUUCGUGGAGAAGCAAAAGAGCUUUGCAGAGGCUGGGGGCUGCCACCCCCUGGACAUGCCUAAAAAGGAGCACCCAGCUUAAACAGCUGUUUAUUGUUGGUGUGGGCCAACAGCUCACAAGCUGUACUUUCCCAUGCCACCCAGCACUUUGACAGGUGACCAGCUCUCUGUGUUCUGGUCACUUCUGAGAGUUAACUGCUUCUGACCCCGACACUGCAUCCCAGUGCUGUUGCCUCCAUUGCUGUCUGGUCCAACUUCCGGUAUUGUCCAUCCCAACCUUCAGACUGUGGCUGUGGGCUGCUGCAGUGUCAUCGCAACGGCCCCCUGCUGCAAGCAUCUCCAGCUGCUGUGACUUGGAUCCUGGCCUGCUGCUUGCAGGUGCCGGUUGCUGCAGGCCCUCGUUGGCAGGAAUGAGCCAUCUUGGAUGAGCAGCCUUUUGUUUAGGGCUUCUGGACACUCUCUGGGGUCUGUGAUGCUAUAACACUCCACACCUUCCCACUGGCUGCAAUUACACACAUCAAGUUUCAGGAUGGACGACAAGGUCUAUAGUGGAUCAUAAAUGAUGACCUGUGUUUCUGUAUGGCCGGCGUCUACACUGGAUCCCAUUUGAAAGUCCUGCAGGAAAGGCUGGGCAUCCUAUUCCAGGUGUCUGGGGAGCCAAAGGCACAUUCCUCUUGCUCCCUCAAAGCCACACUUCAUGUUAUUUUGGGUGGUCUGCCUAGUGCCCGGAUUUGAAAAA